rnacentral:rRNA from 1 species
AUAGGACGUCCACUUAACUUGGAGUCCGAACUCUCACUUUCUAACCCUGUGCACUUGUUUGGGAUAGUAACUCUCGCAAGAGAGCGAACUCCUAUUCACUUAUAAACACAAAGUCUAUGAAUGUAUUAAAUUUUAUAACAAAAUAAAACUUUCAACAACGGAUCUCUUGGCUCUCGCAUCGAUGAAGAACGCAGCGAAAUGCGAUAAGUAAUGUGAAUUGCAGAAUUCAGUGAAUCAUCGAAUCUUUGAACGCACCUUGCGCUCCAUGGUAUUCCGUGGAGCAUGCCUGUUUGAGUGUCAUGAAUACUUCAACCCUCCUCUUUCUUAAUGAUUGAAGAGGUGUUUGGUUUCUGAGCGCUGCUGGCCUUUACGGUCUAGCUCGUUCGUAAUGCAUUAGCAUCCGCAAUCGAACUUCGGAUUGACUUGGCGUAAUAGACUAUUCGCUGAGGAAUUCUAGUCUUCGGACUAGAGCCGGGUUGGGUUAAAGGAAGCUUCUAAUCAGAAUGUCUACAUUUUAAGAUUAGAUCUCAAAUCAGGUAGGACUACCCGCUGAACUUAAGCAUAUCAAAAGCCGGGAGGAA